CGCCAGCGGCGUGGAUUAGGCAUGCAAGUCGAACGUGAUCCGUAGCAAUACGGUGAAAGUGGCGGAAGGGUGAGUAAUGCAUAGAUAACCUACCCCCGAGCCUGGGAUAACUCCGGGAAACUGGAGCUAAUACCGGAUAGGUUCACUGGGUCGCAUGGUUCUGGUGAAUAAAGGUAGCCUCUGAAUAUGCCUCCACUCGGGGAGGGAUCUAUGUCCUAUCAGCUUGUUGGUGAGGGUAACGGCCCACCAAGGCAUUGACGGGUAGCCGGCCUUAGCGGGUGUCCGGCCACAUUGGGACUGAGACACUGCCCAAACUCCUACGGGAGGCUGCAGUCGAGGAUCUUCCGCAAUGGGCGCAAGCCUGACGGAGCGACGCCGCGUGUGGGAUGAAGGCCUUCGGGUUGUAAACCACUGUCGCCGGUUAUGAAAGGGUCUGGAGUUAAUAGCUCCAGGAACUGACAAAGGCCGGAGAGGAAGCCACGGCUAACUUCGUGCCAGCAGCCGCGGUAAGAC
rnacentral:rRNA from 1 species